rnacentral:rRNA from 1 species
AGACCGAUAGCGAACAAGUAGAGUGAUCGAAAGAUGAAAAGCACUUUGAAAAGAGAGUUAAACAGCACGUGAAAUUGUUGAAAGGGAAGCGCUUGCGACCAGACUCGCCCACGGGGUUCAGCCGGCAUUCGUGCCGGUGUACUUCCCCGCGGGCGGGCCAGCGUCGGUUUGGGCGGCCGGUCAAAGGCCCUUGGAAUGUAACGCCCCCCGGGGCGUCUUAUAGCCAAGGGUGCCAUGCGGCCAGCCCGGAACCGAGGAACGCGCUUCGGCUUCGGAACGCUGGCAUAAUGGUCGUAAGCAACCCGUCUUGAAACACGGACCAAG